rnacentral:rRNA from 1 species
AGGGAAUUUUCCACAAUGGACGAAAGUCUGAUGGAGCAACGCCGCGUGAACGAUGAAGGUCUUCGGAUUGUAAAGUUCUGUUGUCAGGGACGAACACGUACCGUUCGAAUAGGGCGGUACCUUGACGGUACCCGACGAGAAAGCCACGGCUAACUACGUGCCAGCAGCCGCGGUAAUACGUAGGUGGCAAGCGUUGUCCGGAUUUAUUGGGCGUAAAGCGCGCGCAGGCGGCUAUGUAAGUCUGGUGUUAAAGCCCGGGGCUCAACCCCGGUUCGCAUCGGAAACUGUGUAGCUUGAGUGCAGAAGAGGAAAGCGGUAUUCCACGUGUAGCGGUGAAAUGCGUAGAGAUGUGGAGGAACACCAGUGGCGAAGGCGGCUUUCUGGUCUGUAACUGACGCUGAGGCGCGAAAGCGUGGGGAGCAAAC